rnacentral:lncRNA from 1 species
UGGUAUUGGUGGGAGUAUCUACCACGGGGCUCAGGAAGACGAGCACAGGGCUGCAGCUCACUGUGGCAGCUAAAGCAGCUUUCACGCACAUCAGCUGUGAGUGAGUGGCUUCAGUUCCUUGCUGGUUCCGGAUGAUAAAGAACUCCCAAGUUGGAAACUAAAAGGAAAAGCUGUUAAGUCCCUUCAUGCGGAAGACCAGAAGGACGGAGUCAGGUGCAACCACAGCUGCCUGUGUCUGGCUCCAGUUGAGAGACGAGGAGAAAAGGAGACAACUAGAGAGAAGGCGCGGACUGGGAUGCAUCACCUUGCAGUGUAACCAGCUGGAUUGUUUCUACACACUGGAUCAACACUGUAACCAGCUGGAUUGUCCAACAAUGUAACCAGCUAGAUUGUUUCUACACACUGAACCAACAAUGUAACCAGCUGGCUUGUCCAACAAUGUAACCAGCUGGAUUGCUUCUACACACUGAACCAACAAUGUAACCAGCUAGAUUGUUUCUACACACUGAACCAACAAUGUAACCAGCUGGAUUGUCCAACAAUGUAACCAGCUGGAUUGCUUCUACACCCUGGACCAACAAUGUUGGCAUCUGGUUUGUUGCUAAAGCUCUGGACUUGGUUUUUCUUGAUUAUGUAUUUAACACUGCUAUCAUCUUACUUUUGAGGUUUUCAUCUUAAGAUGUUUUCUCUGUAACUAGGUAUACACAGUUCAGCACAUUCUAAAAGGUAUGCACACAUCACCUCCAUGAUGACAAAUAUGAGAACC